AGUCGGCCUGCGCGGAAGAUGUAACGGGGCUAAGUAGUAAACCGAAGCUGCGGCAAUAUACUUUUGUAUAUUGGGUAGGGGAGCGUUCUGUAAGCGGUUGAAGGUGUGUGGUAACGCAUGCUGGACGUAUCAGAAGUGCGAAUGCUGACAUGAGUAACGAUAAAGGGGGUGAAAAACCUCCUCGCCGGAAGACCAAGGGUUCCUGUCCAACGUUAAUCGGGGCAGGGUAAGUCGACCCCUAAGGCGAGGCCGAAAGGCGUAGUCGAUGGGAAACGGGUUAAUAUUCCCGUACUUCUUACAAUUGCGAUGGGGGGACGGAGAAGGCUAGGUGGGCCUGGCGACGGUUGUCCAGGUUCAAGUGCGUAGGCUUAAGAGUUAGGUAAAUCCGGCUCUUUUUAAGGCAGAGACACGACGUCGAGCACCUACGGGUGUGAAGUCAUUGAUGCCAUGCUUCCAGGAAAAGCCUCUAAGCUUCAGAUUGUAAGGAAUCGUACCCCAAACCGACACAGGUGGUCGGGUAGAGAAUACCAAGGCGCUUGAGAGAACUCGGGUGAAGGAACUAGGCAAAAUGGUACCGUAACUUCGGGAGAAGGUACGCUCUUGAUGGUGAAGUCCCUUGCGGAUGGAGCUGACGAGAGUCGCAGAUACCAGGUGGCUGCAACUGUUUAUUAAAAACACAGCACUGUGCAAAAUCGUAAGAUGACGUAUACGGUGUGACGCCUGCCCGGUGCCGGAAGGUUAAUUGAUGGGGUUAGACUUCGGUCGAAGCUCUUGAUCGAAGCCCCGGUAAACGGCGGCCGUAACUAUAACGGUCCUAAGGUAGCGAAAUUCCUUGUCGGGUAAGUUCCGACCUGCACGAAUGGCGUAAUGAUGGCCACGCUGUCUCCACCCGAGACUCAGUGAAAUUGAAAUCGCUGUGAAGAUGCAGUGUACCCGCGGCUAGACGGAAAGACCCCGUGAACCUUUACUACAGCUUGGCACUGAACAUUGACCCUACAUGUGUAGGAUAGGUGGGAGGCUUUGAAGCACGUACGCCAGUAUGUGUGGAGCCGUCCUUGAAAUACCACCCUUGUAGUGUUGAUGUUCUAACGUCGACCCCUUAUCGGGGUUACGGACAGUGCCUGGUGGGUAGUUUGACUGGGGCGGUCUCCUCCCAAAGAGUAACGGAGGAGCACGAAGGUGGGCUAAUCACGGUUGGACAUCGUGAGGUUAGUGCAAUGGCAUAAGCCCGCUUGACUGCGAGAAUGACAAUUCGAGCAGGUGCGAAAGCAGGUCAUAGUGAUCCGGUGGUUCUGAAUGGAAGGGCCAUCGCUCAACGGAUAAAAGGUACUCCGGGGAUAACAGGCUGAUACCGCCCAAGAGUUCAUAUCGACGGCGGUGUUUGGCACCUCGAUGUCGGCUCAUCACAUCCUGGGGCUGAAGUCGGUCCCAAGGGUAUGGCUGUUCGCCAUUUAAAGUGGUACGCGAGCUGGGUUUAGAACGUCGUGAGACAGUUCGGUCCCUAUCUGCCGUGGGCGUUGGAAGAUUGAAGGGGGCUGCUCCUAGUACGAGAGGACCGGAGUGGACGAACCUCUGGUGUUCGGGUUGUGUCGCCAGACGCAUUGCCCGGUAGCUAAGUUCGGAAUCGAUAACCGCUGAAAGCAUCUAAGCGGGAAGCGAGCCCUGAGAUGAGUCUUCCCUGAUACUUUAAGUAUCCUAAAGGGUUGUCGGAGACUACGACGUUGAUAGGUCAGGUGUGUAAGUGCUGUGAGGCAUUGAGCUAACUGAUACUAAUUGCCCGUGAGGCUUAACCAUACAACACCCAAGGGGUUU
rnacentral:rRNA from 1 species